CACUGAGCCAUUGGAGAAGCCCCAAGAAAUUAUUCUCUAUUAAUUUUGAUACUGGACAGUGGUGAUUAGGAGGUGGAUUCUUUACCUGCUGAGCCAUCAGGGAAGACCCAUUCCCAUGGGAAUAAUGAGAAUUCUUAUUUAACACAAAGCGUUUGACUGUGUGGAUCACAACAAACUGUGGGAAAUUCUUAAAGAGAUGGAAAUACCAGACCAGCUUACUUGCCUCCUGAGAAGUCUGUGUGCAGGUCAAGAAGCAACAGUUAGAACCAGACGUGGAACA